AUUGAACGCUGGCGGCAGGCCUAACACAUGCAAGUCGAGCGGAUGAAGGGAGCUUGCUCCUGGAUUCAGCGGCGGACGGGCGAGUAAUGCCUAGGAAUCUGCCUGGUAGUGGGGGAUAACGUCCGGAAACGGGCGCUAAUACCGCAUACGUCCUGAGGGAGAAAGUGGGGGAUCUUCGGACCUCACGCUAUCAGCUGAGCCUAGGUCGGAUUAGCUAGUUGGUGGGGUAAAGGCCUACCAAGGCGACGAUCCGUAACUGGUCUGAGAGGAUGAUCAGUCACACUGGAGCUGAGACACGGUCCAGACUCCUACGGGAGGCAGCAGUGGGGAAUAUUGGACAAUGGGCGAAAGCCUGAUCCAGCCAUGCCGCGUGUGUGAAGAAGGUCUUCGGAUUGUAAAGCACUUUAAGUUGGGAGGAAGGGCAGUAAGUUAAUACCUUGCUGUUUUGACGUUACCAACAGAAUAAGCACCGGCUAACUUCGUG
rnacentral:rRNA from 1 species